AUGGAAAUGGGGGACGCACCUUGGUGCGGUGGGGGACUAGCAGCAAAGGCGCCAUCUACUCCAGGAUCCCGGCGCUGGUUCAUUGGGUUAGCGCCUGCUGCCUCUGCUCCGGUGGGAGCCGCUCCUGCUUGUGCUCCGGUCGUCGCCAGCAGGUCGAGUAGGUGGCGUCGUCGAGGUUCCUGCAGUCGUGAACAAGGGACCUGGGAGCUGAGCCAGUUCGGGGAUCACGGGCAGCGCCGUCGACAUAGAGCUGAAAAAAGGCCUGUAGGGGCCCGGUGGGUGGGGGCGUUUGUGCUGGUUCGUUCUCCUCCCGAACAAAUCAUUCGGUCGAUGCCCCUGCCCUCCCAAAACGAUUCGUUCGGGUAG
rnacentral:rRNA from 1 species